UAUGACGUUGCAAUUUACCUCAAGUGAGGGAAUCAUGAGACAGAAGGGAAGCAUUGCCUCAUUUUCAUUUCCACAUUACAAUCAACCAGAGCCUAUAAUUUAUUCCAGUAAAAUCCAUACCACUUUCUGGUGACCGUCCUACAUCAUCAAACGAAAGAGAGAAACUUUUUGGCUUGGACUUCGUCUUACUAAAAAAAAAAAAUUGUCAAGGAAGCUUUCGAAUUGAAACUCCCUGAGCAGAAAUUGAAACACCUCACACAGCCAGAAGUCAGAAAAUGGAAAAUAAACAAAACUCAG
rnacentral:lncRNA from 1 species